UACGAAGGGUGCGAGCGUUGUUCGGAAUUAUUGGGCGUAAAGGGUUCGUAGGCGGGAAUGUAAGUUGAGUGUGAAAACCCCGGGCUUAACCUGGGACGUGCACUCAAAACUGCGUUUCUUGAGUAUCGGAGAGGGUGGUGGAAUUGCUGGUGUAGGAGUGACAUCCGUAGAGAUCAGCAGGAACGCCGGAGGCGAAAGCGACCACCUGGCCGGAAACUGACGCUGAGGAACGAAAGCGUGGGGAGCAAACAGA
rnacentral:rRNA from 1 species